rnacentral:rRNA from 1 species
CACCUCGGUCACGUGACCUACCGCGAGGACCACGGCGACGGCCGUUGCGAGUGCGAGUGGUGCGAGGUCUACCUUGCUCAUGUUGAGCCGGGCGAGCUGCAUAUCAACCAAGAGGAGAUCUCGGAAGUGCGCCGCGUGGCUCCGUCCGAGCUCAAAGGCUAUCCGCAGGGUCACCCCGAGCAGCUGGCCCCCUGGCUCCGCGAGGCCCUCAGCGACCCAUCCAUCCGUACGGAUCUCGCUAUGUGAAACAAAAGACAGUCCCUUUGCCACAUCCAAACCGUCACAACAUUUGAUGAAAAUCUCGAAAACGAGGAAAAGCGUCGAAUGUUGUGACGCUUUUCCUGUCUGUGCCGGCGAGCUCCCGUGCCAUCUGGGGGUAUAAGGCUGGCAAGUGUUUAUUUGCGAGGCUUAAGGGGCGCCCCGUAUGGAUAUCGAUAACUUUGAAUGGUGGUAUAGCGAGGGCGAGGCUCCGGACGAAGCGAUCAAGCGAAGCGAGUGAGCCCGAGGUCCCUAGAAAAACCCCUAGGCAGGCGCGUGCGCGCCCGUACCGCAAACCGACACAGGUGGGUGGGUAGAACAUACCGAGGCGAUCGGGUCAACCAUGGUCAAGGAACUCGGCACAAUGGCCCCGUAACUUCGGGAGAAGGGGUGCCCGCGCGUACGUGAACCGGCUUGCCCGGGGAGCGGAGGCGGGCCGCAGUGGAGAGGCCCAAGCGACUGUUUACCAAAAACACAGGACUCUGCAGAAGCCGCAAGGCGACGUAUAGGGUCUGACGCCUGCCCGGUGCCGGAAGGUCACGCGGAGGAGUUAGCGCAUCGCGCGAAGCCCCGAAGCCAAGCCCCGGUAAACGGCGGCCGUAACUAUAACGGUCCUAAGGUAGCGAAAUUCCUUGUCGGGUAAGUUCCGACCUGCACGAAAGGCGCAACGACUUGGGCGCUGUCUCGACCAUGGACCCGGUGAAAUUGCACUGGUCGUGAAGAUGCGACUUACCCGCGGAAGGACGGAAAGACCCCGUGAACCUUCACUGCAGCUUGGCAUUGGCCGCUGGUCCCGCGUGUAGAGGAUAGGCAGGAGGCGAAGAUCCGGAGGCGCCAGCCCCCGGGGAGCCGCCCUUGGAAUACUGCCCUCGCGCGACCGGCGUCCUAACCCGAGGCCGUCAACCGGCUCGGGGACCGUGCCAGGCGGGCAGUUUGACUGGGGCGGUCGCCUCCUAAAGGGUAACGGAGGCGCGCGAAGGUCCGCUCGGGACGGUCGGCAACCGUCCUUUUGAAUGCAAGAGUACAAGCGGGCUUGACUGCGAGGCCCACAAGCCGAGCAGGUGCGAAAGCAGGCUCUAGUGAUCCGGCGGCCCCGAGUGGGUGGGCCGUCGCUCAACGGAUAAAAGGUACUCCGGGGAUAACAGGCUGAUCUUGCCCAAGAGUCCACAUCGACGGCAAGGUUUGGCACCUCGAUGUCGGCUCAUCGCAUCCUGGGGCUGGAGCAGGUCCCAAGGGUACGGCUGUUCGCCGUUUAAAGCGGUACGCGAGCUGGGUUCAGAACGUCGUGAGACAGUUCGGUCCCUAUCCUCCGUGGGCGCAGGAGAAUCGAUGGAGGCUGCCCCCAGUACGAGAGGACCGGGGUGGACGCACCUCCGGUGAACCGGUUGUCGACCAACGGCACGGCCGGGUAGCCGCGUGCGGCGCGGAUAACCGCUGAAGGCAUCUAAGCGGGAAGCCGUUCCAGGGAUUAGUUCU